AUCAACUUUCGAUGGUAGGAUAGAGAACUACCAUGGUGGUAACGGGUAAGGGGGCCUUAGGGUACGAUACCGGAGAGGGGAACUGAGAAACGGCUACCACAUCCAAGGAUGGCAGCAGGCGCGCAAAUUACCCAAUCCCGACACGGGGAGGUAGUGACAAUAAAUAACAAGACCGGGUUCUUUCGGAUCUCGUAAUUGGAAUGAGUACAAUUUAAAACUCUUAACGAGGAACAAUUGGAAGGCAAGUCUGGUGCCAGCAGCCGCGGUAAUUCCAGCUCCAAUAGCGUAUAUUAAAAAUGGUGCAGUUAAAAAGCUCGUAGUUGAAUUUCGGAUUUAGUAGGUUGGUCAUGCCUCUGGUAUGUACUGGUCUCACUGAUUCCUCCUUCCUGAUGAACCGUAAUGCCAUUAAUGUGGUGUUGCGGGGAAUUUGGACAGUUACUUUGAAAAAAUUAGAGUGUUUAAAGCAAGCUAAAGCUUGAAUACAUUAGCAUGGAAUAAUGAAAUAGGACGUUCGAUCCUAUUUUGUUGGUUUCUAGGAUUGACGUAAUGAUUAAUAGGGAUAGUUGGGGGCAUUAGUAUUCAAUUGUCAGAGGUGAAAUUCUUGGAUUUU
rnacentral:rRNA from 1 species